AUCCGAGAGGUCGAAAUGGCGGGUUUACGAGUGAAUGCAAAGGUACUUAGAAGGUAUAAAUUGUGUUCGUUGUUACCUAACCCAGACCUGCAGAUCAAUGCAUAACGAAACUUCUAUAUGAAGCUGGUUUGUUCGUCCUUCUUCCAGUCAAAAACGUUUAAGGGUAUUCUCGUAAACCCGUUUUU
rnacentral:telomerase_RNA from 1 species